UCAUUACAGAGUUUAAAAACUCCCAACCCUUGCGAACCAUACCCAUACUGUUCUCGUUGCUUCCGGCGGGGGACGGGUGGGGGGCUGCCUUCGGGCGGUCCCCUCCCCCUCCCGCGCCGGGGGCGGCGGGCCCUAUGAACCUUUACAUCUCAAGCACAAGAACACUUCUGAGAAAAAAAACAAAUAAUCAAAACUUUCAACAACGGAUCUCUUGGCUCUGGCAUCGAUGAAGAACGCAGCGAAAUGCGAUACGUAAUGUGAAUUGCAGAAUUCAGCGAACCAUCGAAUCUUUGAACGCACAUUGCGCCCGCCAGUAUUCUGGCGGGCAUGCCUGUCCGAGCGUCAUUUCCCCCCUCACGCGCCUCGUUGCGCGCUGGUGUUGGGGCUCCUCCGCCUGGCGGAGGGCCCCUAAAGCGAGUGGCGGGCCCGUCUGGCGGCUCCGAGCGCAGUACCGAACGCAAGUUCUCUCCUCGCCCGGACGCCCCUUCGGCGCCUUGCCAGUCUAAAUCGCGCAUGACGUGCAACUCUUUUACAAGGUUGACCUCGGAUCAGGUAGGACUACCCGCUGAACUUAAGCAUAUCAAUAAGCGGAGGAAAAGAAACCAACAGGGAUUGCCCCAGUAACGGCGAGUGAAGCGGCAACAGCUCAAAUUUGAAAUCUGGCCCCCCGGCCCGAGUUGUAAUUUGGAGAGGAUGCUUUUGGCGCGGCGCCGUCCGAGUUCCUUGGAACAGGACGCCACAGAGGGUGAGAGCCCCGUACGGUCGGACGCCUAGCCUAUACAAAGCUCCUUCGACGAGUCGAGUAGUUUGGGGAAUGCUGCUCAAAAUGGGAGGUAAANUUUCUUCUAAAGCUAAAUACCGGCCAGAGACCGAUAGCGCACAAGUAGAGUGAUCGAAAGAUGAAAAGCACUUUGAAAAGAGGGUUAAAAAGUACGUGAAAUUGUUGAAAGGGAAGCGCCUGUGACCAGACUUGCGCCCCGUGGACCAUCCGGCGUUCUCGCCGGUGCACUCUGCGGGGCGCAGGCCAGCAUCGGUUCUCCUAGGGGGAUAAAGGCCGCGGGAACGUAGCUCCUUCGGGAGUGUUAUAGCCCGUGGUGGCAUGCCCCUGGGGGGNCCGAGG
rnacentral:rRNA from 1 species